rnacentral:rRNA from 1 species
GGAUGCGAUCAUACCAGCACUAAAGCAUCGGAUCCCAUCAGAACUCCGAAGUUAAGCGUGCUUGGGCGAGAGUAGUACUAGGAUGGGUGACCUCCUCGGAAGUCCUCGUGUUGCAUUCC